UACGAAGGGGGCUAGCGUUGGUUCGGAUUUACUGGGCGUAAAGCGCACGGUAGGCGGAUCGUUAAGUCGGGGGUGAAAUCCUGGAGCUCAACUCCAGAACUGCCUUCGAUACUGGCGAUCUUUGAGUCCGGAAGAGGUGAGUGGAACUCCUAGUGUAGAGGUGGAAUUCGUAGAUAUUAGGAAGAACACCAGUGGCGAAGGCGGCUCACUGGUCCGGUACUGACGCUGAGGUGCGAAAGCGUGGGGAGCAAACAGGGAUUAAGAA
rnacentral:rRNA from 1 species